ACUCCUACGGGAGGCAGCAGUGGGGAAUAUUGCACAAUGGGCGCAAGCCUGAUGCAGCAACGCCGCGUGAGCGAUGAAGGCCUUCGGUCGUAAAGCUCUGUCCUCAAGGAAGAAUAAAUGACGGUACUUGAGGAGGAAGCCCGGCUAACUACGUGCCAGCAGCCGCGGUAAUACGUAGGGGGCAAGCGUUAUCCGGAAUCACUGGGGCGUAAAGGGGUGCGUAGGCGGUUUUUCAAGUCAGAAGUGAAAGGCUAUGGCUCAACCAUAGUAAGCUUUUGAAACUGUUAAACUUGAGUGCAGGAGAGGAAAGUGGAAUUCCUAGUGUAGAGGUGAAAUUCGUAGAUAUUAGGAGGAACACCAGUGGCGAAGGCGACUUUCUGGACUGUAACUGACGCUGAGGCACGAAAGCGUGGGGAGCGAACAGGAUUAGAUACCCUGGUAGACUGUCA
rnacentral:rRNA from 1 species